AACGAACGCUGGCGGCGUGGAUAAGACAUGCAAGUCGAACGGAGUUAGAUGUGUAGCAAUACAUAGCUAGCUUAGUGGCGAACGGGUGCGUAACACGUGAGCAAUCUGCCGGGAAGUGGGGGAUAGCUCGCCGAAAGGCGAAUUAAUACCGCAUGUGGCUAGAGGAGACAUCUCCUCGACGCCAAAGUCGCAAGACGCUUCCUGAUGAGCUCGCGGCCUAUCAGCUAGUUGGUGAGGUAACGGCUCACCAAGGCGAUGACGGGUAGCUGGUCUGAGAGGACGACCAGCCACACUGGAACUGAGACACGGUCCAGACACCUACGGGUGGCAGCAGUCGAGAAUUUUUCACAAUGGGGGAAACCCUGAUGGAGCGACGCCGCGUGGAGGAUGAAGGUCUUCGGAUUGUAAACUCCUGUCAUGCGAGAACAAGAAAGUGAUAGUAUCGCAAGAGGAAGAGACGGCUAACUCUGUGCCAGCCGCCGCGGUAA
rnacentral:rRNA from 1 species